GCCUGGAUAGCUCAGUUGGACAGAGGGUGGUGCUGGCAACACCAAGGUUGCAGGUUCAAUCCCCAUAUGGGGCA